GUGAGGAAUAUUGCGCAAUGGAGGCAACUCUGACGCAGCCAUGCCGCGUGCAGGAAGAAGGCGCUACGCGUUGUAAACUGCUUUUAACCGGGAAGAAACCCCAGGACGUGUCCUGGGUUGACGGUACCGGAGGAAUAAGCACCGGCUAACUUCGUGCCAGCAGCCGCGGUAAUACGAAGGGUGCAAGCGUUAUCCGGAUUCAUUGGGUUUAAAGGGUGCGUAGGCGGAGCGUUAAGUCAGUGGUGAAAUCCUGCAGCUUAACUGUAGACUUGCCAUUGAUACUGGCGCGCUUGGGUGCGCUGGAAGGGGGCGGAAUGUGCCGUGUAGCGGUGAAAUGCUUAGAUAUGGCACAGAACACCAAUUGCGAAGGCAGCUCACUAAGGCGAUACUGACGCUGAGGCACGAAAGCGUGGGGAUCGAACAGGAUUAGAAACCCUUGUAGUCC
rnacentral:rRNA from 1 species